rnacentral:lncRNA from 1 species
AUGUAUUUUUACUUUUCUGGCUCCUGUCUCAUAAUUGUGUUUAUCUUUUUAAGGUUUCAGUGUGGAAUAACGUAUACAAAGACAUUUCUAGAAUGCUUGAAGAAAAUGAAAAAUACAGACUUAGGCUUAAAUGUCAAAGAUCAUCUAAUGAAAAUGCAAAUUGUACAAAAUGAAGUUUUCUGUCAUCUUCUGGUGAGAAUCCACUUGACAAUAAUUACAUUGAUCUUUCCUCUUCCCUUUUGUAUCUUACCUUCUCCAACUUUUAGUGUGUAACCCUGACUAGUUCCAUUCUAUUUUCUUCCUUAAUCCGAGGUUUGGCACAUAGGAAGAACUCAUUCUGCCUCUCUAACUGUAUUUUCUGUGUAUCUCUCAUGUCUCUUUUGUUGUCCUAGGAGUAAUUUUUCAUCCUGUUCUUUAUUUACAUAUUUUCUCUCAGAUAACUCACUAAAUUUUAUAACUUCAGUGAAUCUUUCUGGGUAUAUGAUUUAAUAUCUAUUCUACUCCUGGCUUCUGAUUUUCUUUACAAUAUUUUAAACUGAAUAUAUCAUUUUCACACUUCCUUUCAAUUGUGCCCCUGGCUUCUUAAUAACCUGGCUUCAUUCAACUCUUUGGGAGAGAUUAAUUCCAGUUUCCCAGAAUUUGAAAAGUAACAGGAGAGAUAGGUAAUAUAGGUCUUAGAAAAAGAAAAUUAGACCUUUAUAAGUGGGAGUGUGAGGAGCACAAUAUAUUUUAGAUAUGAAGAUGAGCAAAAUUUAUUGAUUCUAACAAAGUGUUUGUGGAAUGUACAGCUUAAUAAAGGAUUGUUUAAAAUAGUAAUUAAAGAACGAUCUAAAAGAAUGAUGAGAUUAUAUCAAAGAGUCUCUCUUGAACACAAGGGAAGAAUUUGUACUCUGUUCAGGAUACAAUAAAGAAACAUGGAACAUUUUCUUGACCUGUUAUUUUAAAUAAUUCCAAAUGUACAGAAAAGUUCCAAGAAUAAUACAAAGAAUGCUAGUAAUCCUCUUACUUAGAUUUACUAAUUUUUAACAUCUUGUCAUAUUUGCUUUCUCAUUUUCUCUCUGUCUCUGUCUCUGUCUCCCUCUUUGUCUCUCUUUCUCUCUCUCUCUCUCUCUCUCUCUCUCUCUCUCUCUCUCUAUAUAUAUUUACCCCCACUCCUUUAAUAUGUAUGUCCUAAGUUCAGUGCUGUCCUUUAUAAUAACUAUACCACAAUUAUCAAAUUCAGGAAAUUUAACAGUUUAAAUAAUUUAUACUUUUUAUUCUAUCCCCUGUUGUCCAAAUAUUAUCUUUAAUGGGAGUUUUUUUCCAGGUAUCAAGUCCAGUCCAGGAUCAUGUACUGCAUUUAGUUUUUGUGUCUCAUGACGGAAGGGGCAGAGAGAAGUAGGUUAGAAGUAGGGGGUCAGAAAGAGGGUACUGAGUUUUGAGGAUGAGUAAAUAAAUAAGUCACCCUCCCAAGGAAGAACUCAUUUAAUGAAUGUAUUGAGCUUUAUUUUUCUCAUGUUGAGGGACCCAGCUGGAAAUUCUAAGCAAGCAAUUGGAAGUAUUGUAUUGGAUCUGGUGUGACAAAUAUAUCCUUCAUAAACGUUAUAUUGUGGUUCUAACAGUAGCUGCAGAUAAAGAUGUCAAUGUGAGGAUGGAGAAGGAGCAGAGGAUCGAGUGCAGCAUGUCAGACAAUGUCAAAGAUGAAAAAUUUUGAGUUUCAGAGUCUGGGUUUCUAGGGAUAAUCAAGUGUACAAAGAGAUGGCUGAAGGGAUGAAGAAGGAGGCAAAUGAAGCUUACAGAUGAUCAAAGAACUGGCAGUUCAAGUAAGGAUGAAGACCUUGCUAGGUGAGAGCAAAGAGGUACAAGAAGUAGAAAGAUAAAAAUAUGUCAGUCAGGUCCAGUUUAAGAGUUCUAG